CUCACACUCUCUCUCUGUGCUGGAACCAAGUGGACGCUUCUGACUUCUUCAAUAGAACCAUGUCUGCUGAGAAGAAGCCCAAGAAGAAGAAACCAGAGAGGGACUCAGCAAAAGCCAAUGGAUCAGAGACCACAUCCAAAAAGACCAAAACCAAGAAGAGUGAGGAUCUUCUAGAAGAGAGCGGCACUCCAGCAAAAAAUGGAAAGACAGUAAA